GUAUUCACUGCAUGCUCAUUUGAACUUGAAAUUCCUAAAAUGCCUUUUUAUGCACCCAUGAAUGUUGCCUCUUACCCGGUUCAAUGUCGCUUCUCGCUCGAUAAAAUCUCUUGCCUGUUACCUAUUUUCCUCUUCUCCCUGUCAAUGGGUUGCCAUCCGCUGCUACUCUGGCUGCCUCGUCGUUGCUCCCAUGGGAUGAUGUCGUCUGUGCGAGCGUCUGUCCACCAGCGUUCUCCUUCGUACUGUCUUACCUCUGAAACUCUUUCUUUUUCGCCGCCAUAGCCUUCAGCUCGGCACUGUUUCUCUCUUCUCUCCGUUGAUGCACUGCUGUUUGUUACUGCUCUGGUCACCUCGUUGUUUCUCCCAUGGGACAAUGCCAUUUGUGAGAGCGCCUAUCCACGGAACUCCAUUUCUGUUGUUUGCUUCUCCUUCAUGUCCUCUUGUUGUUUUCCCCUCUGAAACCCCUAUUUUUUUUAGUCAAAAAAUUCUUGCAUCAUGUGUGGUGAGCGGUGUAGUUGGACUUCCUUUUGGUUUUAACGGCCAUAUAUUCUCAUGUAUGUACCUAUGUUCGCAUUGACUGAACAUUUCAUCUAUUCUGCAAAUGUCAUCAUACACCGGUUAUUCUGUUUCGAGAGAAAGAUCCUUUAUCAUUGACCACUGUAGGGGAACCAAAGCGACUGAGCAAUGUUUUCUGAUUUCUGGCCAUUUCGAAUGUUAUGCUGAAUGAGAGAGAAAAAAGGAUCAGAGAAAUGAAAAGAGUGAACGACUCGGCUUCUGAUUAGUUUGAGUGAGAUUCCAAAUGAUCAAGGACAUGUACUCUUUGUUGGAUUUGAUGCAUUUAGAUUUGAUUUGGAUUUUGCGUUCUUCUUCGACAGCGAUAACUUCUCCAGUUGAGCUCUCAACCUCGAGACAUGGAUGCCAAUGCUUUUAAAUGAUUGGGGGCUUCAGGGGUGGAGGAUGUAAUGCAAUAGCAUAGCAAUGGACUUAGAGAUCUUGAAAAGCUGAAAAAGCAACUAUAUAUUACGUAAGACCCUUAGUGUCUUCAAAAUGCUUUACUCGAUCUAUGGCCAUUUGGAGUUCUUGGCAAGAAGAAUAAAGAAGGGUGUGAACUGCAUUGAUGGGGUCAAUGCAUUUUAUAUAAGGUCCCAGACACAUUAGCAAUAGAGGUUUUGGAGCAAAUGAAGACAUCAGGAAGAUGAGAUCCAUGUGAUAUUAGUUAAUGAGUUAGCCAAUGUUGAUGGGUUAUUAUUUGGGUUGCCUACCCGAUUGGUUCUACAGCAUUUUUUUAUACACAUAUGAGCUUUGGAUGGAAUAAAGGGUUGCAGGAGUUCCUGUGCGUCCUAUAUUUAUUUUCUCUUAAGACUUUUUUUAUAUUAGUCGAGUAUAUUACUAUAUGGGACUGGUUUUAUUUAAGUGUACUAUAAGAUAGUUUAUGAUUACAUUUAC